rnacentral:rRNA from 1 species
AGCAGUCGCCACGGGAAUACAGAGGGUGCGAGCGUUAAUCGGAAUUACUGGGCGUAAAGCGUGCGCAGGCGGUUAUAUAAGACAGAUGUGAAAUCCCCGGGCUCAACCUGGGAACUGCAUUUGUGACUGUAUAGCUAGAGUACGGCAGAGGGGGAUGGAAUUCCGCGUGUAGCAGUGAAAUGCGUAGAUAUGCGGAGGAACACCGAUGGCGAAGGCAAUCCCCUGGGCCUGUACUGACGCUCAUGCACGAAAGCGUGGGGAGCAAACAGGAUUAGAUACCCCAGUAGUCCCUGUCUCUUAUAC